rnacentral:rRNA from 1 species
UGGGGGAUAUUGCACAAUGGGGGAAACCCUGAUGCAGCGACGCCGCGUGGGUGAAGGAGCACUUCGGUGCGUAAAGCCCUAUCGGCAGGGAAGAAAAGGGGG